GUCCGUUUCCACUAACACCUGGUGCCAGGCAGCCCAUCACCAUAGAGGCCACAAAGAGAAGUCCUCGGUCCAUUCCUACAUGGGAACAUGGAGGCAGGGCGUGGAUUACCGGUAAAGUCCCCUGCUGUUCCCUGAUUUUAAGAGGUGAUGACCAGUCCACUCUACUACCAUUGUCAACUCUGUCCUGACAUGAACUUAAGCCACGUCUCAUGUGCCCGCUCAUCCACUGGCACGUUGCAUGUUUCCUCUCCAAGCACUGCAAAUCCUGCAUUGAAGUCAAGCCUGUGAACACCUCAACUCAUGCCUCAUACACUCAUUCAACUGUGUAGCUAGCCCUCUCAUUCCCAAUCCCCAUAAUAUUGUACUAUACAUAUCUUUAUUAAAUGCUUCAGGUUAAAAUAACUAUUUUGAUGAUUUUUGAUACACAUUUUGACAUCUCUGUGCGCUCAGCGCCUAUAUCGUGGGUCUCCCAUCCUCCUCAAUUUUUCAAGUCACCAGCCUCCAUUGGUGCAGGAGUACAGGUUAGUUGAGGUAAUUGAGGUAAUGUGUACAUGUAUGUAGGGGUAAAGUGACUGC